rnacentral:rRNA from 1 species
UACGUAGGGUGCGAGCGUUGUCCGGAUUAUUAGGGCGUGAAGGCUCGUAGGCGGUUUGUCGCGUCGAAUGUGAAAUCUCAGGGCUCAACUCUGACAUUGCAUUCGGAGUACGGCAGGCUAGAGUUCGGUAGGGGAGACUGGAAUUCCUGGUGUAGCGGUGAAAUGCGCAGAUAUCAGGAGGAACACCGGUGGCGAAGGCGGGUCUCUGGGCCGAUACUGACGCUGAGGAGCGAAAGCGUGGGGAGCGAACAGG